rnacentral:rRNA from 1 species
GUCUGUCAAGUCGGAUGUGAAAUCCCCGGGCUCAACCUGGGAACUGCAUUCGAAACUGGCAGGCUUGAGUCUUGUAGAGGGGGGUAGAAUUCCAGGUGUAGCGGUGAAAUGCGUAGAGAUCUGGAGGAAUACCGGUGGCGAAGGCGGCCCCCUGGACAAAGACUGACGCUCAGGUGCGAAAGCGUGGGGAGCAAACAGGAUUAGAUACCCUGGUAGUCCACGCCGUAAACGAUGUCUACUUGGAGGUUGUGCCCUUGAGGCGUGGCUUCCGGAGCUAACGCGUUAAGUAGACCGCCUGGGGAGUACGGCCGCAAGGUUAAAACUCAAAUGAAUUGACGGGGGCCCGCACAAGCGGUGGAGCAUGUGGUUUAAUUCGAUGCAACGCGAAGAACC